ACCACAUCCACAGGGAC
rnacentral:misc_RNA from 1 species